rnacentral:pre_miRNA from 1 species
AAUCUAGGAGGCAGGUGCUCACUUGUCCUCUUCCAUGGUUGAAAGAUACAGGGAGGAGGCCAUAGUGGCAACUGUCACCAUGAUU